CGGCGGACGGGUGAGUAACGCGUGGGUAACCUACCCUGUACACACGGAUAACAUACCGAAAGGUAUGCUAAUACGGGAUAAUAUAUUUGAGAGGCAUCUCUCGAAUAUCAAAGGUGAGCCAGUACAGGAUGGACCCGCGUCUGAUUAGCUAGUUGGUAGGUAACGGCUUACCAAGGCGACGAUCAGUAGCCGACCUGAGAGGGUGAUCGGCCACAUUGGAACUGAGACACGGUCCAA
rnacentral:rRNA from 1 species